rnacentral:lncRNA from 1 species
AAAUGAGUCGUAGUGCGUCAUAGAACCUGAACGCUUCAGAACGAAAUAUAUAUCACUUAAGUGUGGUCGGUAAAAUAUGAUGCUAAUUCUGCAAAUAUGUUGAAAAAUAAUUUGUUUUUGACCAUAUACAAGUCAGAUAUUGCAUGUGUUAAUGGUUUUCUUGUAGAACACAUAUCGGGUGUCAGGAUUGUCAAAAGAAAGUAGGGUUGGUCUUUCAUUUGAUCAAUCCUGACAGCCCUCGGUCCUCGUUGUGUUCUACGACAAGAAAAACCUUAAAAUAGGCAUUAUUUAUCUAUCACAUUAUGUUUCAAGGAGUAUGUUAAAUCACUCUUGAAAGCACUUGCAAAAUGAUAUCAGUAUACUGUUAGAAUAGAGUUCCUCACUAUGAGUAAUCAAAAAUUUGUAAAUCACUUUGCCGUAUAUCAUUUUGACUUAUGGGAUAUGAUAUUCUUU